GAGGGUAUAGCUCAGAGGUAGAGUGUGUGCUUAGCAUGCAUGAGGUCCUGGGUUCAAUCCCCAGUACCACCA
rnacentral:tRNA from 1 species